CAGUGCUGUGUCACAAUUAGAAAGCAAGAUAUAAGAGGAGAACAGACAGACCAAAGAAGUUACAGAGUAAAGCUUUUAGUUUGUUUUUUUGGUAAUGAAGUUUGGUGAUGUGCAAGUUUUUACCGCAAAAGGAUUAUCUAACUUGUGAUAUCCUUGUGAUAUCAUCUCUGACGACGUGAUCCAACAUUCAUCUACCUUAGCGGCUCCUGUUGGAAAACUGUGAAUCAGAUUCCAGCUGGCACUCUAACAUCAUCCGUCCAACAUGAGCGAUGACGGGGGGAGACACAGGCCUGAUGGUAGCUGGACCCAGAGCCACGGAGCCAGACAGGCCCCCAAUGUCAAACCCAAACUCAGCCAGAAAGAGAAGAACAGCAAGGAGGACCAGUGGAAGAUGGAGAAGCCUGCAAAAGUGAGGAGAUCGAGGAGUAAUGACUUGGAGAGGGUGGAAAGAGGCAGGAGGAGGGAACGAGACAGGUACCAGGGAGAAAGGAGCCAGCGGGGGAGGAGUGAGGAGGCCCGGAGACGAGACAGGAAAGAGAGAGAGAGCGACCGGAGGAAGGUGAAGCCCCCUGAAGAUGAUGUGGAGGACACUGAGUGCGCUGUGUGUUUCUGCACAUACGAUAAUAUCUUCAAGACCCCAAAGCUGCUGGCGUGUGGGCACACCUUCUGCCUGGAGUGCCUUGCUCGCAUCAAUGUGACCUCCCCUGAGCUCAAGACCCUGUCCUGCCCUGUAUGUCGUGAGCUGACUGGGCUCCCCCACGGCCAGGACCUGCCCCGCCUGGGCAACAAUCAGAACAUCAUAGGCAAACUCCCACCAGACAUGCAGAGGGCACUGUCCAUCCGCUUCAAGCGCAGUAAGGGCAAACUGCUCCUGAAGAACCCUCCUCCUAACAGUCAGACCAAGUCUAAUAUCCUCUCCCUGCCUAAAAAGAGUCAGGAUGGCCAGGUGGCAGCAGGCGGUGACCUCCGCUUGAGUGCAAUAGAGCAGGGAAUAGUCCCAACCACAGUGGUGGACGUAGGCAGGCCUCCAAACAGGGUCAGAGGUCGCCUGCACAGGUUGUUCCGCUUGGACCAGUGCUACUAUGCCGUGGUGGCAUCCAUCAUCACCAUCGCUGUUGCGCUCAUGCUGGUGGGGAUUCUGGCCUUUGUGAUCCUACCGAAUGUGAUAAUUAGGCCUGGUCAUUCAAUGAACCACACAUCACACAGUCCCUCAGGUACAUCGACAAGACCCUGAAGGGGGCAGGAGUGGAAGGGCUGUAGAGUUGAGACUAAAGUGGAGGGAGAGAAUAUCACACAAUUGUGAUUCUCAGUGAUCCUUUUGCCUCUUUUUUCCUUUUGGUGAGUAAUGGUGGAGGAAAAACUAAGCACUGGGACACAUUCAAGCUGGUUUGCAUGCAAAAUUAGGAAAUAAAGGAAAACAAGGACACAAAAGACUCAAAGUUGCACAUGAAGGAAACAGGGAAGUUGUAUGUAGAAGUAUGUUUGUGUUCUUCUCUGAACGUGUUUGUGAUUACUGUGAAAGCCAGAAAUACUGUAUAUAUAAAGAAACAGUGCAUAAUGAUUAAUAAACUGUAAAUGUUGAAAUGCACUAAACUCUGUGAUGCAGAUCCUUUGAUUGCAUCAGGCUGAUUUCUAUAGCCAGUUCAGGGUUUCUAGUUCUUACAAAUUGUGUUUAGUGACCAACCCAUUAUACAUAGCCAUUGAUGAUUUACGUAUUUAAUAUAUGUUUUUUCUUUUCCUGGAGAAUGGACUUUAUUCCCCAUAACACCAUCAAAUAAAACAUUAUUUGAGACAUUGAAAGGUCAUUGCUCAGUAUUCCCAAAACACAUGAUGCUAAUUCUAUUUCUAUAAACUAAUCUGGAUUUUGUUUAUAAUUUAUUUUUAAAUUAAACAACAACAGAUGUAUCCUGCCAGUCUAGGAAGUGGGAAGUUCCUGUCCAUUUUCCUGACGCGUGUCCUCUAACGAGUCAAAACAAAUUGAUUACUUAUUGGGUUUCAGAAACCUGCAUGGCUUCUUUAGACAUCUGAUACCCUCUAGUGGUGUAAACAGACAAGUUAACAGGGUGGCUUGAAUACUGAAUGUGUCAGCUGCUCUUCAGGAUGACAAACCUGUUUGACAGCAUGAGUGUCUUUACCUUCCUGUCAUUUUUUUCUGGCCUACUCAGGGAGUUCAGCAGCUUAUAUAUUGCAAUAAAUUGUAACUAUAGUCGGUAAAACUGACAAGUACAGAUAGACCACACUUGCAUGCAGCUAGUUUGAACUACUUUAUGUACAGUUAGGUAGCUUAAUCCAGUGGUUCCCAACCUAAGGGGUUGAGAUAAGUAACGGUCUAGAAACAAAUUUGUGUUGUCUUUGUUUUUUGUGUGAAAUAUUUGGCCUCAAAUGAUUAUUUCAUUGAAACCAUCUCAUGUGGAACUGCUAACAACUCACAGACAUCUGAAACUCAACAAGCCAAAGGCCCCAACCAGACAACUUGUAUUGGGGUUAUAAGCCAAAAAGAAGAAACCACUGGUUAAAUCUUUCACAAUCCAUUGUAUUAACAAGCUUCUCAUAUUUUCGUUUAAUGUAAAAUCUGAAAAGUAACCAGUAAAAAAAGUAGAGUAAAAAAUAUGCAUGUCCCUCUGAGAUGUAGUGGAGUAGAAGAAGAAAGUAGCAAAAAUGGAAAUACUCAAGUAAAGUACAAGUAUUUCAAAACUGUACCGUACUUGAGUAAAUGUACUAGCAGUUACGUUCCACCACUGUGAUCAGCUUAUACAACAUGAUGCAUUGUUAUAGAUAAUGCUACCCAACAGUAUGAAGUCAUUUAAAUGCGCUCCACCUUGACCAACUACAACAUUAAAAUGGUGCUUGGUACAUGUUAAAGCAUCAGUAAUAAUGCAAUAACUAUAUAGUUAUAACACUCGGAAAGGUGCAGUUAUGUAUAGUACUGUGUAGAGUACUUUUGAUACUUGGGCACAUUUAGCUGAUAAUACUUCUGCAGGCCUACUUGCAGGACUUUUAUCCUACUUGUAACAGUAUUUUCACAGUGUGUUAUGAGUACUUUUUCCACCAUUGCGUAAAGACACACCCACCUGAGCCCCCCUCCUGAACUAUCGAGGCAAAUAUGGUCGCAUGGACCAGAGCAGAAAAGACCCCCCCCCCUCCUCUAAUCUACUUCUUACGCAAAUUAACCUUUAUACGUUAUGUGACUGCUUGGAUAGAGGUUGAACAUUAGAACCCUUAAAGGAGAAAGUCCUGACACAGAAACGGUCUGCUGUGGAUAUUAUCAACCACCAUGGCUUCCACUCCCUCUGCGUCUGCCUUGUCUGCUGUUCUCCGGUGUCGAGGGAAUAUCUGGACCAGGAAUCCGCCGACCAAGCGGCCUGCCUCCUCGGUUUACAGCCUCGGACUGGCCGGCGGGGUGGUGCGCGACUCGCCAGCUGAGCGCACCCGGUCAAACCAUGUCUCAGCUUGGGAGGCUUUUCUCCAAGGAGAGCGUGUUGUGGUGGGAAGAAGACUGACUGUGGCGUAUAAGUCGCCCCGGGUGGAUGAUAAAGUGCUGAGAAAAAAAGAUUGCAGGGAAAUUAAUAAAUUAUGUCAUCCAAAACUUUCGCAAUCGCCAGGGGACGUGCCUGGUGUCCAAAACGCGCUGGUGCGUCAGUUGGCACGCAGACUGACAUCUAACCUGCCUGGAAAAGACAAAUGCUCUCAAAUAAUUCAAAUGAUUAAAUACGAAAAAUAUGCUACACACAUCUAUAAAAUGGUAUUUGUUCAGGAAAGCAGAGAAUUCCCAGCUGGCGUUUUGAAAGUCUCGAUAACGUCAACGUGUUUUAUGGGAAAUGCAGGACAAAUGCUGUCUUUUGCGUUAACUGGCUGGUCAACACUGAAGAUUAACUGCUUAUCUUUGGCUGCUCAGGUGUCAGAUUUGAUGUUUUUGAAGUUGUGUAGGUCCAGCAGCAGCCCUGAUGAUGUGCCACAGCAUCUUCUGAGCCAACAGGAUGAGGAAAACAUUCAAAACAAUGCACUGCAGGAAAAUGGACAAAUCCACAAUCCCACUGAGCUCGAGACUCAAGACUCCGGCUCUGGACAAAGGAUCACAGAGGACAGACCUGACUGAGAGAGAGUCCAAGGCCUCCGCACCAAAAAUACACACUGUGAUCUAACCUUAUUUAUUGACUUUUACUUGGCUUUCACAAAACACAACCCACAUCUCGACUUCAACCCAGUGAUAUAAGAAAACAGCUGGUUGUUUUAAGAGCUUUUUUUUUGCUUAAAGCAAUAGGCCUACUGUAACAAGAAAUUCCUGUAAAACCUGAAACACGUGCACUGUUCAUAGUACUACAUUUCUUUUAAGUAUUCUAGUCCUGGAGGAGGUGGAUAGUUAAAAUAAUGGCAGUAGCCUACAUUUCAUUUUGGAGCUUACCCUGUAUGUUUUGCACAAACGCUUAUUAUGCAAACAUUGUAGAAUAAAAUUUCCAUUUGGAAUUGAGUCAAAGUAUAACAUCACA